rnacentral:rRNA from 1 species
GUGGGGAAUAUUCCGCAAUGGACGAAAGUCUGACGGAGCAACGCCGCGUGAGUGAUGAAGGUUUUCGGACUGUAAAGCUCUGUUGUUUAGGACGAAAGUGCCUGUUGCAAAUAGUUACAGGUAUUGACGGUACUGAACGAGGAAGCCACGGCUAACUACGUGCCAGCAGCCGCGGUAAUACGUAGGUGGCAAGCGUGGUCCGGAAUUAUUGGGCGUAAAGAGCAUGUAGGCGGGAAUCUAAGUCUGUUGUGAAAAUGCGGGGCUCAACCCCGUAUUGCGAUGGAAACUGGGUUUCUUGAGUGCAGGAGAGGAAAGGGGAAUUCCCAGUGUAGCGGUGAAAUGCGUAGAUAUUGGGAGGAACACCAGUGGCGAAGGCGCCUUUCUGGACUGUGUCUGACGCUGAGAUGCGAAAGCCAGGGUAGCGAACGGGAUUAGAUACCCGGGUAGUCC